UACGUAGGGAGCAAGCGUUGUUCGGAUUUACUGGGCGUAAAGGGCGCGUAGGCGGCGCGGUAAGUCACUUGUGAAAUCUCUGAGCUUAACCUCAGAGGCCAAGUGAUACUGCAGUGCUAGAGUGCAGAAGGGGCAAUCGGGAAUUCUUGGUGUAGCGGUGAAAUGCGUAGAUAUCGAGAGGAACACCUGCGGCGAAGGCGGGUUGCUGGGCUGACACUGACGCUGAGGCGCGAAAGCUAGGGGAGCGAACGGG
rnacentral:rRNA from 1 species